GGGGCUAUAGCUCAGCAGCGGGGCAUCUGCCUUGCAUGCAGAAAGUCCCAGGUUCAUUUCCUGGCAUCUCUA